UAUCUUUAAUGGAAAUAGUAUGUGUUACAGUGAUACAUAGGUUCAAGUUUAUCUCAGAGUGCUACAUUAUAGUUUUACAAUAUUGAACAUGAAGUUUUUCACCAGCUAACAUUUAUUUAACUUUUUUCCCCCUAUAACCAUGUUAAUUCCUACCAGGGAUACAAAAAGACACAAUUUAAGCUCUUUUGCAUCUUCCAAUAGAAUACCAGAGAUUGACGAUUAUAGAUAAUGCUCAGUUAUCAAAAUUUAAAAGCUUAAUUUUAAAAAAAUAUGAAGCAAACUCCAAACACAUGUUAUAAUUUUGUUUAACUUAUCAGUCUGUCAGUAGUUACUUUUGGAAAGGAUCCUUUGAAUAUCUAACCUCUGCAUGUGUCAUCUUUUUUGGUUCUUCUAUUUGACCGAUUUCUUUUUUUUUUUUUUUUAAGAUGUUAUUUAUUUGACAGAGAGACAGUAUGAGCAGGGGGAGCAGGAGAGGGAGAAGCAGGCUCCCCACUGAGCAGGGAGCCUGAUGCAGGGCUUGAUCCCAGGACCUUGGGAUCAUGACCUGAGUUGAAGGCAGAUACUUAACCUACUGAGUCACCCAGGUGCCCCAAUUAAGUGAUCUAUUUUUACACUGCUCCAUGACCAUCUUGCUAAAUUUUUUUAUGUUUCUUCAAGGGAACUAUAUUUUUCUUUGUAAAAGUUAGAUGUCUAAAGCUUUUCAAAGACAGGGUCUCAUUUUCUGUUCCAGAAAGUCCGAGUUGAUGGUAUUUUUUUUAAGUGAAAUUAUUUUCCUUGAAUCCCAUAAAAAAAUAUAAUUUUGAAAAAGAUGAACCUCACAUUUUUAUCUACUAUAUAUUUUGAUUUAUAUGUUCCUGGAUCAAGAUAUAUUCUUUUGGUAUGUGCCACAGGUCCAUUGUUCUCCAAAAGAAUUCUCUUGACUGUGUUCACUGGCAAAAAACUGCACCUUGCCUCCUCUUGUAGCACGUGAUAUUGUUAAAAUCCUCAACCCUUCCUUCUUCACUACAAGGGGAAGCAGUCUUAAGAUCUGUGUAAACUUAAAAACAAUGAUUAAUUUGCAUGUGGGCCCAUGACUGUAGCAAGGCCAAUAAAUCCUCUUUAUUGAGGAUUGAUAUAACCA
rnacentral:lncRNA from 12 species